rnacentral:rRNA from 1 species
GACGUAGGGUGCGAGCGUUGUCCGGAUUUAUUGGGCGUAAAGAGCUCGUAGGCGGCUCGUCGCGUCGACCGUGAAAACCCGCAGCUUAACUGCGGGCUUGCGGUUGAUACGGGCGGGCUAGAGUUCGGUAGGGGAGACUGGAAGUUCCUGGUGUAGCGGUGAAAUGCGCAGAUAUCAGGAGGAACACCGGUGGCGAAGGCGGGUCUCUGGGCCGUAACUGACGCUGAGGAGCGAAAGCAUGGGGAGCGAACAGG